GAUGAACGCCGGCGGUGUGCCUAAUACAUGCAAGUCGUACGCACUGGCCCAACUGAUUGAUGGUGCUUGCACCUGAUUGACGAUGGAUCACCAGUGAGUGGCGGACGGGUGAGUAACACGUAGGUAACCUGCCCCGGAGCGGGGGAUAACAUUUGGAAACAGCUGCUAAUACCGCAUGAUGCAACGGAAUCGCAUGACUCUGUUGCCAAAGAUUUAUCGCUCUGAGAUGGCCUCGCGUCUGAUUAGCUAGUUGGCGGGGUAACGGCCCACCAAGGCGACGAUCAGUAGCCGGACUGAGAGGUUGGCCGGCCACAUUGGGACUGAGACACGGCCCAG
rnacentral:rRNA from 1 species